GCUAAGUGGGAAAGCAGGUGGGACGACCAUAACAACCAGGAGGUUGGCUUAGAAGCAGCCACCCUUUAAAGAAAGCGUAAUAGCUCACUAGUCGAGUCGGCCUGCGCGGAAGAUGUAACGGGGCUAAGCAAUAUACCGAAGCUGCGGAUGUGUGUAUUUAUACACACAUGGUAGGGGAGCGUUGUGUAAGUGGCUGAAGGCAAGCUGUGAGGCUUGCUGGACAUAUCACAAGUGCGAAUGCUGACAUGAGUAACGAUAAUGGGGGUGAAAAACCCCCACGCCGGAAGACCAAGGUUUCCUGUCCCAUGCUAAUCAGGGCAGGGUAAGUCGGCCCCUAAGGCGAGGCAGAGAUGCGUAGUCGAUGGGAAACGGAUUAAUAUUUCCGUACUUGGUAUAUCAGUGAAGGGGGGACGGAGAAGGCUAGGCAAGCACAGUGUUGGUUAUCUGUGUGAAAGUGCGUAGGGCGACAAUUUAGGUAAAUCCGGAUUGUCAUUCACCUGAGACACGAGACGAGACUCCACGGAGUUGAAGUUGUUGAUGCCAUGCUUCCAGGAAAAGCCUCUAAACUUAUGAUAUAUCGAACCGUACCCCAAACCGACACAGGUGGUCAGGUAGAGAAUACUAAGGCGCUUGAGAGAACCUGGGUGAAGGAACUCGGCAAAAUCGUACCGUAACUUCGGGAGAAGGUACGCUGCUGUUUGUGAUGGGACUUGCUCCCUAAGCGAAUGGCAGCCGCAGUGAAAUGGUGGCUGGAACUGUUUAUUAAAAACACAGCACUGUGCUAAAUCGAAAGAUGACGUAUACGGUGUGACGCCUGCCCGGUGCCGGAAGGUUAAUUGAUGGGGUUAGACUUAGGUCGAAGCUCUUGAUCGAAGCCCCGGUAAACGGCGGCCGUAACAAUAACGGU
rnacentral:rRNA from 1 species